rnacentral:misc_RNA from 1 species
CUUAUAUGCAUUUACAAAAAGGACAACGAUACACAAGCAACCAACAUGAUCCAUAAAAUCCUUAAAAAAAAAAAAAGAAAUCCCCCCUUAAAACCAAACAGAGACACAGACAGCCCGAGGAAAACUAUUUCACAUAAAAAAAAGAAAUUAGCAAUAGGCAAUUCUUCCUUUCUUACGAUUUUGCAAUCCAUUACAACAAAUCAAUUUUCUCAUCCCUCCUAUGACCAAUCAAUCUCCUCAGGCUAAACCAAAAUGAGAGUUCUUCAUGUUAUCUGUAAAUAGGCCAAUUUACCUAGGCACUAGAUUUCCCAACCUUAGAAUCAACAGUGCCAAGACUGCAACACUGCAUGUUACAAAAAUGAUUCUGAUAAAUAGAUGAGGAAACACACUCCUCAACUAUUUUCUUUCCCCAAAACCCAGACUAACAAAGGAAAAGAAAAGAUGAA